rnacentral:rRNA from 1 species
UACGAAGGGUGCAAGCGUUACUCGGAGUUACUGGGCGUAAAGCGCACGCAGGCGGUCGCCUAAGUUUGGAGUGACAGUUCCCGGCUCAACUGGGAAAGUGCUUCGAAAACUGGACGACUUGAGGGCUUCAGAGGGACACGGAAUUCCCGGUGUAGCGGUGAAAUGCGUAGAGAUCGGGAGGAACACCAGAGGCGAAGGCGGCGACCUGGACAAGUACUGACACUCAACUACGAAAGCGUGGGGAGCAAACAGG